CCCUUAGAUGUUCUGGGCCGCACGCGCGCUACACUGAUGCAUUCAACGAGUUCCUACCUUGGCCGAGAGGCCUGGGCAAUCUUUUGAACUUGCAUCGUGAUUGGGAUAGAUUAUUGCAAUUAUUAAUCUUGAACGAGGAAUUCCUAGUAAACGCAGAUCAUCAAUCUGCAUUGAUUACGUCCCUGCCCUUUGUACACACCGCCCGUCGCACCUACCGAUUGAAUGGUCUGGUGAAGCCUCGGGAUUGUGGUUAGUUUCCUUCAUUGGAAGUUAGCCGCGAGAACUUGUCUAAACCUUAUCAUUUAGAGGAAGGUGAAGUCGUAACA
rnacentral:rRNA from 1 species